CGGUCCUGAGUAAAGUGGCGCACGGGUGAGUAACACGUGACUAACCUACCCUGGAGUGGGGGAUAACUGAGGGAAACCUUAGCUAAUACCGCAUAAUACCUACGGGUCAAAGGAGCAAUUCGCUUUAGGAGGGGGUCGCGGCAGAUUAGUUAGUUGGCAGGGUAAUGGCCUACCAAGACGAUGAUCUGUAUCCGGCCUGAGAGGGCGCACGGACACACUGGAACUGAAACACGGUCCAG
rnacentral:rRNA from 1 species